ensembl:lincRNA
GCUUGAGGUUUCACAUCGACAUGCAGUUGCUGCUUUGUGUUUUGAAUAUAUCAGUUUGAAUCAAAGGUGUUAUAAGUAAACACUUGCAGUUCCUAUUGUCAUUUAUUCACAACUUUUGAAAAUAUGCCCUCAUGUAGUUAUUUAAGUUUUCUAAUUCACCUUGGACUAGCAAUGAUUAUUUUUACCAUUCUGAAAAUCAUCUUUCUAGUCUGUUCUGAAGAUGAAAGGAAAAUGCAGUAUAGUAUACAUCUUUUCAUUUAAUAUGCAGUAAUGUUUUUGCAUAGAAACUGAAAUUCUUACCUAGAAACAUUCUUUUAGGUACUUACUAAAACAAAUAAAGCUAGGGCUUAGGGUUCAAGUCCUGGCUUCCCGCACUUAUCAGCUGUGGGACCCACUUAGUGUCUAGUCUUAUUUCCACAUCAGUAAAAGGAGAUAGCAUUAGCAAUCAUCUCAUUGGGCAGUUCUGGGGUCUAAGUGAGAUCACCCAGCACAACGUUGCUGUAUAGUAAGUCCUCAAUUUCAGCCAUUAUUGAAAGCACAGUAAACUACACUAUGCACUACAGUGCAUAGCGUUGAGUGUUUGUUACGUUAUGAGUGUUAUGGGUAGUGUUAUGAGUGUGGUGGAGGCUGUGACAUGCUGCUCUGAUCCCACUUCAGGAAUGAAGGGACUAUUCUCCCAGAUGAUGGGACUGCUGCCCCAAAUGGACAUCAGCUGUGAACUCUCUUUGGAGACUGCCUCACCCAAGAGCAUGUGUUCUUCUGGGGCAGCCUGAAACCAAAGAGAAGUCCAUCAGGAGGUAUAAAGGUCUGGCCCCUUUGCCCCAGUCUAGGACAGCUGAGAGGGCCACCCCAAUUCCAGAGUUCCCCCAUGGGGUUGGGUAAGGCCUACAUCACAGCUCAGCCUCUCCCUCCGUCUAACCCUGCUUCCUCUCUUCCUUUUGGCAGAUGUUGAUUUCAAGGGUGGUCCCUCAUAAGCAUCCUCCAUGCCAGUCUGCAUCUCAGAGUCUGCCUCCUGGGGAAGCAAUCUGCAACAAUGAGCCAUCACAAAUACAUUGGCAUUCAGCAUGGAAGGCCAAAAGAUCCUGGGCAAAUUUGCAAAGAAGGUCAAAUGCUUCUGGAAACCUCCUCAUCUUCCCUGCCCUCUUCUCUCACCUCUGCCCCUGGCUUCAGGAAAUUCAGGUGGCCCUUAGAGGCUCUGAUUCAGCUGGGAAUUAGAAUCAAAAGGCUUCCUCGGUGAUUCUGGAAUUUGUCACCAGAAAAAGAAGAAAGUUCAUUGACCAAAGGUAGUCACUGCACACCUGCAACCUGAAACGUCAUGGAAGCUCUUGUACUCCAGCCACCAGGCUGUGGGGCUCGCCCUGAGAGGCCUGGGCCACCAGCUACAACUAUUCCCUUUCUGCCCUGAGCUGUCAGGAUUUCUGCCAAUGAUUCCACUUGUAUGAGCUAUCUAUAAUAAACUCACAGAAGCAUAGAAUACAAUAGUGGUUUCCAGGGGUUGGGGACUGGGAAAGUGGAGAGUUGUUGUUCAAUGGGUGUAAAAUUUUAGUUCUGCUCGAUGAUUAAGUUCUAGGGAUCUAUUGCACAGCAUAGUGCCUAUAAUUUACAAUACUGUAUUAGACACUUCAAAUUUUGAUAAGAGGGAAGAUCUCAUGUUAAAUGUUCUUCACACACACACACACACACACACACACCCCAAAAACAAAGGGACACAAGGGAACUUUGGGAGGUGAUGGAUGUGACUAUUAUUUUGAUCACAGUGAUGGUAUCACGGGUUUUUGCAUAUGUCUAAACUCAUCAAAUCGUGCACAUUACAUAUCUGUAAUUCUUUGCAUGCCACUUAUACUUCAGUAAAACUAUUAAAAAUAUUUCUGGCAUUGUAGAAAAAAAUAACAACAACCAUAAUUGUAGCUACCACUUGCAUAGGGCUAACUAUCCUAAGGCCUAACUGCUCUCCGUUAACUAGCAGGUCCAAUCCUCUCAACAACCCUAUGAGGUAAGUAGCUUCAUUUUCCAAACGAGGAAACUGAGACACAGAGAAGUUAAGUGACAUGCCUAAAGUCACACAGCUAGAAAAUGACAGAGCUUGGAAUUGGGCAGCCAGUUCAGUUCCGGCUGCACUGCCUUCCCAGAAAGUGCCUAGCCUGGCACAACAAACCUUUUGUUAGGUUAUAUGGUCAGGGACUCUGUUUCAAAAGCUCCCUUUUUUAAAUAAACCCCCAAUAAGCACCACCCUUCUGCCACCUCCCUCUCAACUCUUCCUCAAGUUAGAACAUCUAAGCUACUUCCCAGGAGGUCCCUCAGCUGCCCUCAUCCUACAUUGCCUUCUUCUACUCAUAGUUCCUCUUUCUUCAAUGUUUCAGAGAACCAGGGUUCUCCUAUAUCCCAAGAUGAAUUUUAAAUCACUCUUCCCAUCAGUCCUCCUUGGAGAAGCAACAUCUCCCAACAUCUGUGUAUUCCAUUUCGCUCUGUCC